rnacentral:rRNA from 1 species
AUUGAACGCUGGCGGCAGGCCUAACACAUGCAAGUCGAACGAGUGGCGGACGGGUGAGUAAUGUCUGGGAAACUGCCCGAUGGAGGGGGAUAACUACUGGAAACGGUAGCUAAUACCGCAUACCAUCGGAUGUGCCCAGAUGGGAUUAGCUAGUAGGUGGGGUAACGGCUCACCUAGGCGACGAUCCCUAGCUGGUCUGAGAGGAUGAACAGCCACACGGGAACGGAGACACGGUCCAGACUCCUACGGGGGUCAGCAGUGGGGAAUAUUGCACAAUGAGCGCAAGCCUGAUGCAGUCAUGCCGCGUGUAUGAAGAAGGCCUUCGGGUUGUAAGAUACGUUAAGCGGGGAGGCGUUACUCGCAGAAGAAGCACCGGCUAACUCCGUGCCAGCAGCCGCGGUAAUUC